CCUGAUGAACCAAACUACUCAGUAAUCUCCUCCAUGAAGACUGGGGAUCAGCCUGAUGAACCAAACUACUCAGUAAUCUCCUCCAUGAAGACUGGAGGUCAGCCUGAUGAACCAAACUACUCAGUAAUCUCCUCCAUGAAGACUGGGGAUCAGCCUGAUGAACCAAACUACUCAGUAAUCUCCUCCAUGAAGACUGGGGAUCAGCCUGAUGAACCAAACUACUCAGUAAUCUCCUCCAUGAAGACUGGAGGUCAGCCUGAUGAACCAAACUACUCAGUAAUCUCCUCCAUGAAGACUGGAGGUCAGCCUGAUGAACCAAACUACUCAGUAAUCUCCUCCAUGAAGACUGGAGGUCAGCCUGAUGAACCAAACUACUCAGUAAUCUCCUCCAUGAAGACUGGGGGUCAGCCUGAUGAACCAAACUACUCAGUAAUCUCCUCCAUGAAGACUGGAGGUCAGCCUGAUGAACCAAACUACUCAGUAAUCUCCUCCAUG
rnacentral:lncRNA from 1 species